CCCCCCCCAACCUAUGCGACCCUCACUGGGAUCGAUGGAUCCAGUGCAUCGAGGUUGGCGUCGCCUCCCUCCCUUCGGCACCGCCGCCAGGAAUGGACGACGGCGCCGGUGCGUCAGGUCGAUGUCGCCUUCAUCUCCAGCACCAGAUCUUGCGACGAAAACCGUGUCUCGUCCAUCGCGUUGCGAGCACGGCGACGGCAAGGGCGAGAGGAAGCGGUUCUUCCUGGCUCCUCUACAUCUCAGGGUCGUCCCCCCACAACCACGCCGCCGCGCUCCUCAUCUCCACGUCCCUCUGCGCUGACGAGCACGGGCAGGCUUCCCACCAUGGUUCCCUCCACGCCGACGCAAAGUAAGAAGGGAGUAGAAGGCCUGCAAAAGGAGAAUGAGAAUGAAGCUAUGCUGCUUGAAAAAAGAAAGAAUCUGCAGUCCUAACAAAGAACCUGAAACAACACUCUGGAAAAAAGAGAGAAGGAAACAACAAUCUUGCAAGGGAAAUAAAGAAACCGCAGCUUGUUCACUAAAUUUUCAGUGAGUGGCUUCCUAGAGGUACAAAAGUUGAUCGAGGUAUGGAAGAUCUUCAAGUUGCUGAAGAUUUGGAAGACCUACAAUUAAGUUGGUGGAAUGAUAGUGUCGUAUGUCUUGUUUGUUGAACCUGGAGACUUGCUCUGCUCAUUUUGAUGGUUGUUAAGCUCAUUUUGGCUGUGUGGCACAUCUAAAAACAUAUGUACUUCUCCUUUUGUGGCACUACUUUAUUUUGAUUGUGUGACACACUGUAAACAUAUAUGUACUUCUUUUUUGGCACAACCGGCUUAUAUAUGGUCGUUAUAUUUAUUGGAUAUACUUUACUGUUUA